rnacentral:rRNA from 1 species
GAUGAACGCUGGCGGCGUGCCUAAUACAUGCAAGUCGAGCGAACGGACGAGAAGCUUGCUUCUCUGAUGUUAGCGGCGGACGGGUGAGUAACACGUGGAUAACCUACCUAUAAGACUGGGAUAACUUCGGGAAACCGGAGCUAAUACCGGAUAAUAUUUUGAACCGCAUGGUUCAAAAGUGAAAGACGGUCUUGCUGUCACUUAUAGAUGGAUCCGCGCUGCAUUAGCUAGUUGGUAAGGUAACGGCUUACCAAGGCAACGAUGCAUAGCCGACCUGAGAGGGUGAUAGGCCACACUGGAACUGAGACACGGUCCAGACUCCUACGGGAGGAAGCAGUAGGGAAUCUUCCGCAAUGGGCGAAAGCCUGACGGAGCAACGCCGCGUGAGUGAUGAAGGUCUUCGGAUCGUAAAACUCUGUUAUUAGGGAAGAACAUAUGUGUAAGUAAGUGUGCACACCUUGACGGUACCUAAUCAGAAAGCCACGGCUAACUCCGUG